rnacentral:rRNA from 1 species
ACUCCUACGGGAGGCAGCAGUGGGGAAUAUUAGACAAUGGGCGCAAGCCUGAUCCAGCCAUGCCGCGUGAGUGAUGAAGGCCCUAGGGUUGUAAAGCUCUUUCACCGGUGAAGAUAAUGACGGUAACCGGAGAAGAAGCCCCGGCUAACUUCGUGCCAGCAGCCGCGGUAAUACGAAGGGGGCUAGCGUUGUUCGGAUUUACUGGGCGUAAAGCGCACGUAGGCGGACUAUUAAGUCAGGGGUGAAAUCCCGGGGCUCAACCCCGGAACUGCCUUUGAUACUGGUAGUCUUGAGUUCGAGAGAGGUGAGUGGAAUUCCGAGUGUAGAGGUGAAAUUCGUAGAUAUUCGGAGGAACACCAGUGGCGAAGGCGGCUCACUGGCUCGAUACUGACGCUGAGGUGCGAAAGCGUGGGGAGCAAACAGGAUUAGAAACCCCAGUAGUCCCA